CUUACNGUACUCCGAAUGCAUCUAGAUUAGAGUUGAUCAUGGCUCAGAGUGAACGCUGGCGGUAGGCCUAACACAUGCAAGUCGAACGGCAGCACAGGAGAGCUUGCUCUCUGGGUGGCGAGUGGCGGACGGGUGAGGAAUACAUCGGAAUCUACUCUGUCGUGGGGGAUAACGUAGGGAAACUUACGCUAAUACCGCAUACGACCUACGGGUGAAAGCAGGGGAUCUUCGGACCUUGCGCGAUUGAAUGAGCCGAUGUCGGAUUAGCUAGUUGGCGGGGUAAAGGCCCACCAAGGCGACGAUCCGUAGCUGGUCUGAGAGGAUGAUCAGCCACACUGGAACUGAGACACGGUCCAGACUCCUACGGGAGGCAGCAGUGGGGAAUAUUGGACAAUGGGCGCAAGCCUGAUCCAGCCAUACCGCGUGGGUGAAGAAGGCCUUCGGGUUGUAAAGCCCUUUUGUUGGGAAAGAAAUCCAGCUGGCUAAUACCUGGUUGGGAUGACGGUACCCAAAGAAUAAGCACCGGCUAACUUCGUUGCCAGCAGCCGCGG
rnacentral:rRNA from 1 species